AUUGAACGCUGGCGGAAUGCUUUACACAUGCAAGUCGAGCGGCAGCGCGGGGCGAACCCUCGGCGGCGAGCGGCGAACGGGUGGAGUAACAUAUCGGAACGUACCCACGUCGUGGGGAGUAACUAUCCGAAGGAUAGCUAAUACCGCAUACGUCCUGAGGGAGGAAAGACGGGGGAGUCGCAAGACCUCGCGCGAUUGGAGCGGCCGAUAUCGGAUUAGCUAGUUGGUGGGGUAAAGGGACUCACCAAGGCGACGAUCCGUAGCGGGUCUGAGAGGACGACCCGCCACACUGGAACUGAGACACGGUCCAGACUCCUACGGGAGGCAGCAGUGGGGAAGUUUUGGACAAUGGGGGCGAACCCUGAUCCAGCCAUUCCGCGUGAGUGAAGAAGGCCCUAGGGUUGUAAAGCUCUUUCAGCUGGGAAGAUAAUGACGGUACCAGCAGAAGAAGCCCCGGCUAACUCCGUG
rnacentral:rRNA from 1 species